AUUGAACGCUGGCGGCAGGCCUAACACAUGCAAGUCGAACGAGUGGCGGAAGGGAGAGCUAUGUAUGGGACACUGCCCGAUGGAGGGGGAUAACUACUGGAAACGGUAGCUAAAACCGCACACAAUCGGCUGGGCCCAGAUGGGAUUAGCUAGUAGGUGGGGUAUCGGCGCACCUAGGCGACGAUCCCUAGCUGGUCUGAGAGGAUGACCAGCCACACUGGAACUGAGACACGGUCCAGACUCCUACGGGAGGCAGCAGUGGGGAAUAUUGCACAAUGGGCGCAAGCCUGAUGCAGCCAUGCCGCGUGUGUGAAGAAGGCCUUCGGGUUGUAAAGUACUUUCAGCGGGGAGGCGUUACCCGCAGAAGAAGCACCGGCUAACUCCGUGCCAGCCGCCGCGGUAAUAC
rnacentral:rRNA from 1 species